rnacentral:rRNA from 1 species
UACGUAGGGACCGAGCGUUGUCCGGAUUCAUUGGGCGUAAAGAGCUCGUAGGCGGCUGUUCAAGUCGAACGUGAAAACUCGGAGCUCAACUCCGAGCCUGCGUUCGAUACUGGACGGCUAGAGUGUGGUAGGGGAGAUCGGAAUUCCUGGUGUAGCGGUGAAAUGCGCAGAUAUCAGGAGGAACACCGGUGGCGAAGGCGGAUCUCUGGGCCAUUACUGACGCUGAGGAGCGAAAGCGUGGGGAGCGAACAGG